AUUUUGGGAGACCAAGGCAGGAGAAUCACUUGAGCCCAGGAGGAGUUCAAGGCUGCAGUGAGCUGUGAUUGUGCCACUGUAUUCCAGCCUGGACAACAGAGAGAGACUUUGUCUCAAAAAGAGAAAAAAAAGUCUUAAUCUCAAAUCUCAAUGUAUACAUACAAAAUUAAUGUUUCCCCCCUUAUAAAUUUAUUUUGCCAGGAAUGCUUUUAAGACCUCUAUCUUCCAUUCUUCCUGGCUUCCACCCAUUGAUCCUUCAGGUAGCAGCUUACAUCCUUGUAAACACUGUCAUUUACCCCACAAGCUCCAAUUAUUCUAACACAACCCUCUCCUCUUUCCUUCAGAGGACCAAUCAUAAUUUAUAAUUGUUACUCGCAUGAUAUUGAUUUAAUGCAGGCUCCCUUCCCAGACCAAACCUUCAUAAAGGUAGGAAAUCUGUUUGGUUUACUUGUAUAUAUCCCAAGCCUAGCAUAGUACCUGGUACAUAGUAGAUAUUCAAGAAAUACUUGCUGGAGAAUGACUCUCAGGAUAAUUCUAUAUUAAGAGACAAUCUAUAUCACUUGUGCUUUACAUUUUCUUUUGAUCCAAACAGUUAUACUGAAAUGCCCAGUAUUAAGCCCUUUCUCUAAGACUUUCAUGAUGGGAAGUGUUUCUAUGACGAUACUGAAGAUUCUUGUGGUGCAUGCAUGCAUUUUCCCCAGUUAUUCCUGACAUAGAGUCAGUAACCAAAUAAAAAAUAGCUGAAAAGGAUUAGGUUUCAUGACAGGAUGACUCAAAGUUUAAAAAAGAUCUCUGUCAACUCACAUUAUCUGUCACUAAUUUAUUUUGUUUACCUAUUCUCCUCUUAAAGAGCCCAAAUUUUAAGUAUUCUUAGGAAAGGUAAUUCUUGAUAAAUUAUAUUGAAAUAAGAGGGAAAGGAAACAAAGUAGGUUUCUUUGUUCCUUCACUGAUCUGCUAAAGUUGGGAUUAAAAAAAAAAUGGCAUUUCAUUUUAAUAUUAAAAUGUUAAAAUUGUGUAAGAAAACUCUUUUUUCUUUCCCUUUAUAAAUUACCCAGUCUUGGGUAUGUCUUUAUUAGCAGCAUGAGAACAGAAUAAUACACCAACACUUAGAAGCAACCAAUGUGUUCUUCAGUAGCUACUGGAAUAAAGAAAUGUUGCUACAUCCAGAAAAUGAAAAAUUAUUCAGUGCUAAAAAGAAAUUAGGUAUCAAGCCAUGAACAGACAUGGAAGAAAUUUAAAUGUAUAUUACUAAGUGAAAGAAGCCAAUCUGAAAAGGCUACGUACUGUAUGAUUCCAACUAUAUAACAUUCUGGAAAAGACAACUAUGGAGAGAGUAAAGAAAUGAAUAAGUAGUUUCCAGGGUUGGGAGGGAGGGAAAAUUCUUGUUUGUUACCAUUUGUAUCUGAAGAGCUGAGUCAGAUACUGGAUAUGUACCUAAAGAACAAGCCAUAUCAGCUCACUGUCAAAGUGUCAUCAGGGUAGGCCAUAAACCUUCUAAAAGUAUCCAACUUACCUGGGAAUAGGAAGCUUAUUAGAGAAAUAAAAAUUAUCUUCUUUCACUAUUCAUUCUUUUAAUAGAAGGAGAACUAGAAACAAUCAAGUACUUUUUUCUUUAGCCUUGUACUAAAUUAUUGGUAGCAAGGAGAAGAAUCCAUCUCCUAGCAUUCUAGCAACUGAAUACUCUCUUGGAUCCUCUUCUGACUGCCAAGCUUUGAAAAAUAAUCAGUGGCCAUAUGCAGGCCUAUAACAUGAAUCUAGGCAGCUCAAAGGAGGGUGAAACUGAUGGUCUUUGGCAGUCCUAUGAUCAACCUUGGGAAAAUUAUUCUUUCUUGUGCUAAUUUCACCAUAUGUAAAUGCUACCUCUUAUUUAGCACCUGACAAAUGCUAAGUGCUGUACUUGGCAUUUUACUUCUUUAGAGACAUUUCAUUUAAACCUCACAAUAACUUUGUGUUUUACUUUUAUUUAGAUACAAAAGAACUGAGAUUCAGUAACUUGCCCGAAGUCAAAUAUAUAAAUUAAAGGCAAUUCAACCUGUCAAAUCUAUUUCAAAGGGAUAAUAUAACUCAGAAAAUGCAUGUAAAGCAUUCAGAUGGCUGUGGUACUGCUUCUAAAAUUUAUUUUUGAAGCAUAAAAUAAACCCUUGCUUUUUCACUACAACAAAAGAAUGCAGAAGGAGAUUUUGAUUCAUCAUAUACAGGAAUUAAAAUUUGCUUAUAGAAAACUGAACUUGCUCUGUUUCAAAGGAGUAACAAAACUAAGAAUAUAUAAAAGCCAGGAACAGAAGGAAUAGAGGUGAAAGCAUUUUAACACAUUUACAUUCACCUGAUAUCACCUUCUAUAUUGGUGCAAAGUUAAACAUGAAAAAGAAUUCUGAAGAGAGAAAUUUCUAGAUCAAAGUUGAUUAAAUCUUCUGAAAUAUAAAAAAUUAAGAAGCCAGACUGUUUAUUUUGUGCAAAAGAGAAGAAUGUGAUUGGCACAAAAAGUCUCCACCACCAGGCCACACUAUUUUCAGCCUUCCCUCAUGUCACUGCAGUAGCCAAUCAAUAUUAUUUGGUCCUGACGGGACACAUGCUGUUGGCUCCUGAUCCUAAAAUUAUCUAAAUGUAAACUCCUACAGGGUCUUAGAGUUUUGUACAUCACUUUUGUAAAAUGUUGUAUAUCACCUAGACUAGUGAUGAGCAUGUGAGGCAGUCAAUAAAACCCUA
rnacentral:lncRNA from 1 species